GAAACGAUGAGUGCAUCCUUAAAAUGCGAAGAAGACAUUUGCUGGGUCUGCAAGUACAUGCGUAUUCUCUUUACAGUUAAAGAUACACCAGGGCAAAGGACCUUGAGGAGCUUCUGUUUUCUCAGGUGAGGACAUGGGGGCACAGAGGACCUUGAGGACAAGGUUGUUUGUCCAAGGUCAUGUGAAAACAGGCUUGGUCUGUGGUUCUAAUGAACACAGGAGGCUUGGUUCAUUCGGAUGCAGGAAGUGAGGAGGAAUAACAUGAAGGGG